GCACUUCCGAUGAGUCCCACAAUAGGACGAAACGACCGUCCAGUGU
rfam:Schistosoma mattheei strain Denwood, Zambia genome assembly, scaffold: SMTD_scaffold0011442